rnacentral:misc_RNA from 1 species
GAUGAAGAACGUAGCGAAAUGCGAUACUUGGUGUGAAUUGCAGAAUCCCGUGAACCAUCGAGUCUUUGAACGCAAGUUGCGCCCGAAGCCAUUAGGCCGAGGGCACGCCUGCCUGGGCGUCACACGUUGUUGCCCCCCCAUCUACUCCUUCGGGAUUGCGGGGGGCGGAUGAUGGCCUCCCGUGCGCCUCGUCGCGCGGUUGGCAUAAAUGCCAAGUCCUCGGCGACGCACGCCACGACAAUCGGUGGUUGCGAAACCUCGGUUGCCCGUCGUGUGCGGUCGUCGCGCAUCGAGGGCUCGAAAAAAUUGUCGGGCUCCGGCUCGGCUUUCAACGCGACCCCAGGUCAGGCGGGGUUACCCGCUGAAUUUAAGCAUAUCAAUAAGCGGAGGA